AUCUUGCACAAUGGGCGCAAGCCUGAUGCAGCGACGCCGCGUGAGCGAUGAAGGCCUUCGGGUCGUAAAGCUCUUUUCUGCGUGACGAGCAAGGACGGUAGCGCAGGAAGAAGUCUCGGCUAACUACGUGCCAGCAGCCGCGGUAAAACGUAGGAGCCAAACGUUAUCCGGAGUUACUGGGCGUAAAGGGCGUGCAGGCGGUCUGUUAAGUUCGGCGUGAAAGCGCCUGGCUAAACCGGGCGAGGUCGUCGGAGACUGGCAGACUAGAGGGUGAUAGAGGCGGGUGGAAUUCCGGGUGUAGUGGUGAAAUGCGCAGAGAUCCGGAAGAACACCAGUGGCGAAGGCGACCCGCUGGGUCACACCUGACGCUGAGACGCGACAGCAUGGGGAGCGAAC
rnacentral:rRNA from 1 species